rnacentral:rRNA from 1 species
GACGAACGCUGGCGGCGUGCUUAACACAUGCAAGUCGAACGGAAAGGCCCUGCUUUUGUGGGGUGCUCGAGUGGCGAACGGGUGAGUAACAAGUGAGUAACCUGCCCUUGACUUUGGGAUAACUUCAGGAAACUGGGGCUCAUACCGGAUAGGAGCUCCUGCUGCAUGGUGGGGGUUGGAAAGUUUCGGCGGUUGGGGAUGGACUCGCGGCUUAUCAGCUUGUUGGUGGGGUAGUGGCUUACCAAGGCUUUGACGGGUAGCCGGCCUGAGAGGGUGACCGGCCACAUUGGGACUGAGAUACGGCCCAGACUCCUACGGGAGGCAGCAGUGGGGAAUAUUGCACAAUGGGCGGAAGCCUGAUGCAGCAACGCCGCGUGCGGGAUGACGGCCUUCGGGUUGUAAACCGCUUUCGCCUGUGACGAAGCGUGAGUGACGGUAAUGGGUAAAGAAGCACCGGCUAACUACGUG